GAUGAAGAACGCAGUGAAAUGCGAUACUUGGUGUGAAUUGCAGAAUCCCGUGAACCAUCGAGUUUUUGAACGCAAGUUGCGCCCGAAGCCUUUUGGCCGAGGGCACGUCUGCCUGGGCGUCACGCAUCGCGUCGCCCCCCACAAUUCUCCGUAAAGGGAACAUGUGUUUUGGGGGCGGAUAUUGGUCUCCCGUGCUCAUGGCGUGGUUGGCCGAAAUAGGAGUCCUUUCGAUGGACGCACGAACUAGUGGUGGUCGUAAAAACCCUCGUCUUUUGUUUCGUGCUGUUGCUCGCAAGGUAAACUCUUUAAAAACCCCAAUGUGUCGUCUCUUGACGACGCUUCGACCGCGACCCCAGGUCAGGCGGGACUACCCGCUGAGUUUAAGCAUAUCAAUAAGCGGAGGA
rnacentral:misc_RNA from 1 species